UACGUAGGGGGCAAGCGUUGUCCGGAUUUAUUGGGCGUAAAGAGCGUGUAGGCGGCCAUGCAGGUCAGCUGUGAAAACUCGAGGCUCAACCUCGAGACGUCGGCGGAAACCAUCUGGCUAGAGUCCGGAAGAGGAGAGUGGAAUUCCUGGUGUAGCGGUGAAAUGCGCAGAUAUCAGGAAGAACACCCGUGGCGAAGGCGGCUCUCUGGGACGGUACUGACGCUGAGACGCGAAAGCGUGGGGAGCGAACAGG
rnacentral:rRNA from 1 species